rnacentral:lncRNA from 1 species
AUAUAAGCAUCCUUGUUGAUUUAAAAAGUAGGUGUAAUUCAGUUUUGAAAAUCUGAGCCAUUUUAUUUUUUUAUGUAAUUGCUUCAAAUUAAUGUCAUAUUUAUCUAAGUUUAUAACAGGGACGACUUGUCAUUCAUGGACAACAUAAGAAGUAUUUGGUACCAUCUCAGAAAUACAGAAGUUUCUACAGAGGGAUCUUACCGAUGAAAGUUUAAUCAGGAAUGAAAUCUGAAGUAUCCCUACAAGAAUGUUGCACUGUAAUUGGAAAAAGGAAAAAAAAAAAAUCUCCUAGCCUUCUGUAGAAGAAAAAGGUGCCUGUGAGAACAAAAACAAGAUCAACUGUUAGUCAUGUGAAGCAUAAGCUUUUCCUUCUGGAAAGAAAAGAACUGUUUUAAAAAAGAUCAACAAGAAGAAAAGGAUGAUGAUGCUUAGAGAUGUUUUUGAUGAGAUAAAGGACAGAAAUGAUCACUGGAUGAAAAAUAUUAAAGAAUAAA